rnacentral:lncRNA from 1 species
UGCCUAGUCCGAUAGCAGAACCCAAAUGAUACAGGCUUUACCGUUCCAAACGAAACCAAAAACAAAACUACUAACUUUAUGGUCGCCAUUAAUUCUUAUUCGAAUUUAUUUCUGAAAACAACUCUUUUUUUUUUUUUUGGCCCCUUCAAGCACAUAAUUAAGGUUCUUAGUUCCAUUGCUAGACUAAUGUCCAGUAUUUAGCUUAAAUCAGCUGGAAGGAGGAGCAGAAGCUUUGAGUUCGGCAAGCUUAUCGGUCUCAGGCAUAACAUCUUUGACAGCAGCGUCAGCACAGAAUCUCUCAGCCCAUUUGAACAGUCCAGGAGUUUUGACUUCAUCAAGGAGCUUCACCUCAUUCAUUUUCUCUGUCACUCUCAGCCAUCCCAAGUAGCUACCAAAUGCAAUGUCAAGAAACCCAAUUUGGUUUCCACCAAAGAAAGCCUUCCCUUUGCUACACUUAACAAAAGCAUCCUCCAGCAAAACCAAGACUUCAAUCAAUUGCUCAAUUGCAGCUUUCUUAGCUUCCGCUCCAUUUGCACUACCAAUGUCUCUCAAGGCAGAGAACCACUGCAAAUCAUAAUAGAUAUAUCAUAAUUUGAUCAAUCAAGGCCAGAUUUCAAUCACUACCUACCAAUUGAUUCUUAUAUCUUGCUAUCUCUCUAAUCUCUAUCAGUAUCAUCUCUUAAGAUUCAUGUAUAUUUGUUUCCUUAGAUAUGUGAGUAUACGUCACUUCUACAGAUUUACUUCUAGAUUGUAUUGAUUGUUUUCCUUUUGGGCUCUGCUUUCUUAAUCUUUCUUUAGUUUUCUUUUCAAGUUCAUUUUUCCACCGGAAAUAAUUCCAACCACGCGCUUUACCUCCUUGAUUUACCAAGAGAGACUCUAUUAAUUUCCGAAAACAGUUUUCAAAACUGAAAAAGAUUAAAAAAUUUUAGAUGCACAUAAUUCGAAUAAAAAGCAUUGACUUAAAACAUUUUUUUCAAAACAAAGAAAGGAAAAUAUACCUUCUCAUCAACGUAAGCGGCCCAGAAACGAGCAACGGCACGGUCAUAAGGAUCAGAAGGAAGAAUAGAGGGACCUGAAGAGGACCAAGCCUCAUCCACGUACUCGACAAUGAUGAGAGAUUCGCAAACAGGCUUAUCAUUGUGAAUCAGAACGGGGAUUUUCUUGUGAACAGGGUUUGAUUUAAGCAGAAGCUCGCUUUUGGAUCCCAAAUUCUCCUCCAGAAACUCAUACUCCACAGACUUGAUCUUAAGUGCGAUUCUUGCCCUCAUCAGAAAUGGGCUUGGCCAAAAACCCAAAACCUUCACGUCGCUUUUUGCCAUUUUUUUUUUCUCUCUAAGCUCUGCUCUCGCAACUGAAAUGAAAUGUCUUUUGCUUCGUGGGCUGUGUAUUUAUAAUUAGAGCCAGAUGAAUGUAGGGGAUGUGAACUACGCCACUAAUGUGAACGUUUGACUGUUAGAGAGGUACGAAAUGGGCAGCUCGGAAUCAUUUAUGUUACGGCUUCCGUAAGUAACAGCAGCCAAUGGGGAACUUCUACGGGUGCCAGAGGAGAGAGAAAGAGGUCCCAAUGCAAGGUGAUGGAAAUGGGAAGGUUCGAAGCUGUUACUUGCAGCUUCCGCGCCGUAGCCAUGUCCCAUUUUCAUGGAUAUUUAUUGGUCUUUCCGAUGUGAGUCAGCGAGUGUUCACACAUUGAAAUGACCGAAAACAAAUAAUGACAGUUUGUCCUUUCGUCCUUUGACCAAGCAAGUUGUUGUUAUUAUAAGCUGGCGGCUCGUUGGAAUUGGAUUGGAAGGCUCAAGGGCGGUAACUGGUAAGAAUUAAGAAGUGCGUGGGAGAUGCGAUUUGUCUGGAUGGCUGCACCACAUCCACAAGAUAUGCAUGCCGUGGAUCUGGAGACAGUCCAAGAGUUUUAUGAAUUAAAAAAGCUGGUGACUUACGAAGGCACGUGGAGAUAGUAUUUUCUGACAAAUGCCCCAAAAGGCAAAAAGGCCACAAAAAUACAUGCACCAGCCGGGAAUCGAACCCCCGUGGCAGGGUGCUAUUCUACCACUAGACCACUGGUGCGUCUCUCCUCCUCUGCAGCUGUGGAAGUUGUCUUCGUAAAAGCUUAAUAAUGGAGUUUUCAUAACCACAAACUCAGGAAUUCCACCAUAAUUACAAGUACCGAUGAGUUGCUUGGGUUCAAUUGUCAUCAGUCAGUCACUUCAACAAAUUCAUAAAGUGUAAUUAAUGAUAAUAGAAUCUUUUUGUGAUGUUUGUUUCUUCUUUUUCUAAUGCAUGAAAAGGAAGUACAAAGGUAAAACAAAUGUCAACCGGAGAGCAAAAGCAACUUCACAGGGUGAAAAAACCUAUAAAAUAUGCUGUAGACUCAUCUAAACUAGCCACCAACAAAAAUUCCAGCCCUUACAACUAAAAUACCCCACAGGAUUAGAUAGCUUUAUAAACCGGCAAAGCUUAUGUUACAUUUGCUGUAACAAACAAUCAGUACAUUUGGGUGGUUGGAUUUUAAUAUUUUUCAAUCCAAUGAAUGAAAAUAACUUUAACCUAAAAUGAGGUAUGGGUGUAAUAACUUUUUACAAAAAUUUUUAUUUUGAAUCACAUAUUUAUUUUUUUUUUUAAGUAAAUAAAUCAUUAGAAUCUCUAAUAAUUUUACAAAAUAUAUAAAUUAUUGAGUUACCACAUUCUAACUGCAUACGAAGAGGAUUUUCUUAUAAAAGAUUUUAAUUCUUUGAUCCGAUCAAUGAUUCAAAUAUGUGGGAAAAUAAUCAAUUAAAUUGAUUUUCACUAUAUUUAUUAAAUAAAUUAGGAAACUCAAAUUUAUUUAUAAAUGAUUUAGAAAAAGCAAACGAUACCACAUUGUAGCUAUAUACAAAGAGGAUUUUCUUACGAAAGAUUUUAAUCCUCUAAUUUGAUCAAUGAUUUGUACAUGCGGGAAAAUAAUCAAUUAAAUUGAAUUUCACUAUAUUUAUUAAAUAAAUUAGGAAACCCAAAUUUAUUUAUAAAUGAUAUAGAAAAAGUAAACAAAAUAUUAUAAAUUAAUAAUUUUAAUGAAGAAAACAUCAAACAAAUUAAAAAGUUAGGAGAUCAAAUGAGUAAAAAAUUUAAUAAGGUUAAACAAUUAAUAAAAAACUUCACAUUGAAGAUAAUGAUAUAUUAAAGUAAGAAAUUGUUAAUAUAAUAAAUAAAAAAUUAAUAAUAUAAGAUUAAACAAGUUAGAGAUUCAAUUAGAUAAAAUAAAAACUUGGUACUGAAUUUGCUAUAAAUAUAAAUAAAAAACUUAAACAAAUUGAAGUACUAUUGCAGUGUAGUUUGGGGUUUAAAAUAAAACUUUAAAAGUUAUUGACUUUUUCAUAAUUAUUAACUUUUCUGAGGAUUCAAAAAUUUAUAGUUGUAACUUACAGCUGAUGUAACAUAAGCUCUGCCUUAUAAACCUGGCAAAGAAAGUAACCAAAGCAAACCAGGCUAUUCCUGUGUUUUAAUAAUCCAAAGCAAAUUGAAGAAACUUUUGCUUCAAGUUUCCAAAGCACUGGUCAAUGGUAAACAAUGCUGAAAAGAACAAUGCUUAAUGCAUGAAUAUUUGGAAAAACAAUAUUACAGCCAAAAAAAAAAGUCCAUAAACGAAAAAUAAUAAGAAUUAAAUUGUGUAAAUAUUUUAAUAUAAAUUUGUAAGCAUGCAUAAACAAAAUUAGAAGAUGCAACUGAAUAUACUUAUAGAAAAGAUAUGAUCUACUGCAAUAUAGAAAUUUAAAAUCACAAUUAAACCUGGUUCAGUGUAUCCCAGGCUUUUAGCAGCUUUAACAACUUGACUAAGUGGCUUCCCAUCUUCAACCUCGCUCAUUACAUACCCCAAUGUACCUAAUACAAAAUAUAUUAUGCAAAUGACAGCCAAUAUUCAUAUAUGAAAUAUGGUUGCAAAAAAAUACAAGCAGAUACAGGAAAAGCAUGAACUUCAUAUGUGAAGGAAGAAUAAAUGUCUAACCCAAAAAAAAAAAGAAAAGAAGAAAACCAAUACCACUCAGACUUCCAACAAUACCAUGGACAGGGUCUCCUGAAGAAAGAAUACGAUUUAAGGAUGCUAUGACAGGAAGGCCAGCACCAACCUAUGGAGAAACAGACAUCAAAUGAGACACUUCACCCACGAUUUCCUUUUAUAUGACAAAAGCAGGAAACUUCACUUACAGUUGACUCAUACCGAAUACAGCGUGGACGUGAGACCAAUUUGUCAUAAUCCUCCUACAUUACAGAAUAGCAUGAGGUUGGUUAAAAAUUCACAUGCAAUAGAAACAACUUGUUAAGCAUGAAUAGCAGACAAAACGGUAUGGAAAAUAAAGGGACAACAAAAAGUUAUCAUUUUCCUUCAACAGAUUUAUAUAUGCUCUUCCAAUUAGUGAUUUGUUGAGGAAUUUUCAUUAUCUUCUCUAGAUGAAAUUCAAAAACAUUAAUAUUGCACUAAAUUGCUCAAUGAAAAUUUGUCAUUUUUAAUUUUAAAAGAAUUAAACACCAAACGUAAUUCAUCUUAAAUGGUAAAAAUAUAGAAUGUUCGAACUGGCCACAAAAGAAAUGGCAUUGCAGCAUUUAAUGACAGCAGGAAGUGUCGCCAUCUCCAGAAUUAAGUCUGCUAGUGGUUGAUCACAGAAUAAAAAAAGUCCAUAAACGAAAAAUAAUAAGAAUUAAAUUGUGUAAAUAUUUUAAUAUAAAUUUGUAAGCAUGCAUAAACAAAAUUAGAAGAUGCAACUGAAUAUACUUAUAGAAAAGAUAUGAUCUACUGCAAUAUAGAAAUUUAAAAUCACAAUUAAACCUGGUUCAGUGUAUCCCAGGCUUUUAGCAGCUUUAACAACUUGACUAAGUGGCUUCCCAUCUUCAACCUCGCUCAUUACAUACCCCAAUGUACCUAAUACAAAAUAUAUUAUGCAAAUGACAGCCAAUAUUCAUAUAUGAAAUAUGGUUGCAAAAAAAUACAAGCAGAUACAGGAAAAGCAUGAACUUCAUAUGUGAAGGAAGAAUAAAUGUCUAACCCAAAAAAAAAAAGAAAAGAAGAAAACCAAUACCACUCAGACUUCCAACAAUACCAUGGACAGGGUCUCCUGAAGAAAGAAUACGAUUUAAGGAUGCUAUGACAGGAAGGCCAGCACCAACCUAUGGAGAAACAGACAUCAAAUGAGACACUUCACCCACGAUUUCCUUUUAUAUGACAAAAGCAGGAAACUUCACUUACAGUUGACUCAUACCGAAUACAGCGUGGACGUGAGACCAAUUUGUCAUAAUCCUCCUACAUUACAGAAUAGCAUGAGGUUGGUUAAAAAUUCACAUGCAAUAGAAACAACUUGUUAAGCAUGAAUAGCAGACAAAACGGUAUGGAAAAUAAAGGGACAACAAAAAGUUAUCAUUUUCCUUCAACAGAUUUAUAUAUGCUCUUCCAAUUAGUGAUUUGUUGAGGAAUUUUCAUUAUCUUCUCUAGAUGAAAUUCAAAAACAUUAAUAUUGCACUAAAUUGCUCAAUGAAAAUUUGUCAUUUUUAAUUUUAAAAGAAUUAAACACCAAACGUAAUUCAUCUUAAAUGGUAAAAAUAUAGAAUGUUCGAACUGGCCACAAAAGAAAUGGCAUUGCAGCAUUUAAUGACAGCAGGAAGUGUCGCCAUCUCCAGAAUUAAGUCUGCUAGUGGUUGAUCACAGAAUAGCCAUAGGAUGACUAUACAUGUCCAACUAAGUCCAUUUACUACCAAAUAAGGAAGCCUUGUAAAGUUAUUACCAUUGUAGAUGUAAGAGGCUUCUUGUUUGCCAAGACAAUGCAACAACCCAAAUCAACUGCUUGAGUUAAUAUUUCAACAGUCUCAGAACUGGCAGAGCAAUCAACAAAGGCCAAACCUGUUUCAAGAUUAAGCAAAAGACCAAGCUUGAAAUGACCUUACUUGAGGUGAAUGAAUGAUAAGAAUCACUAAACUCUAAAAACAAACAUGAAACUUCAAUUGAUUGAACAACAAAUCAGUGUUUCAAAAGAAGUAUAAAGGCCGGUGAGAUAGUAAUUGUCAUGAAGACGAACCUGUUGAUAUACCCAGAAGAGAUGCAAUUUCUGAUAACUUUCCUCUCAAAUCAGAAUCGAGAAACACUUGGCAUUCACCUUUGAUAAAGAAUCAAAAGAAAAGCAAAAGCAUGAGAAAUAAACAGAAUGAGUAAUCUAUUAUAUCCUCAACAAUACAAUAUAAGAGGAUUACCUCCGAAACCACCAAUAAGAGUUGAGAGAGAAGAGUGGCCCGCCUUGAGGCGACAAAUUUCUGAUAAGAGGUUAUCGUUGAACUCCUUUGUGAAAACAUCCGACGCAACAACCAAUGACUUGCUGUCACUUACUCCUACCACUCGCAAAUGCACUCCCUGCCGUGCCGACCGAUCAUCAAUCAUGAAAUGUUACAGUUAAAACAAAUUUACCAGUCUUCUAUAGAAACAGAAUCAUCGACGAGUUUAUUAGAAGGCAGGCAAGUGCAUAUCAAAAGAAUACAUCUCCGACAUGUAAUAAUUAAUGAAUAUAUAGCUACUAAAUAAUUAAUUAAUUAGUUAAUUUGUGGGGCGCUAAUAAACUUCGGAAAGUGGAGAAGGAGUACCAGAUUGGCAUGAAGUGAUCGGCAGGAAACAAUGUGCUGGAGGAGCUGGCGUCCAACUUCUCCGCAUCCCAUCAGAACCAAAGGGGUUUUCGUCAGUGUUGCCAUUUUUUCUCUCUUUUUAUUUAUUUUAAAUGGGGACUGGCGCUGCGGUCUCAGACUCUCGGUGGCUUAGCACAGCUUCUUGUUUAAUAACUUUGGUUAGGGUCCGACGAAGUCAGGACGAAUUGGGCCUCAGGGUAGGGCCGGAUAUACAGACCGUAUUUUACCGGCCGUUUCGGUUGACUGGUGUGGUGGUGGUGUUAAGAAUUGAUUUCUGGGAAAGAGAAUAACAGAAUAUCAAAUUCUGCACACAAUUUAUUCAAUCAACACAUGUUUGAUGGUCAUUUUAAUCGGUUUUGAUAUGAUUAUUAAUAACUACUUUGUCCAGCAGUGUGCUCGUAGCCAAAGUCUCAUUUUAGGAUGAUAAAGAUUAUGAAUUGAUUUUAGCCAUAUGCCCAAACAGAUUUUAAUAUUUAAAUUCUAAAUUAAAUUUGAUACCAUGUAUUACUCAUCUAUGGAAUGAUAAAUGCAAAAUUAUUUAUUCCUUGAUUGUACUAUUCAAUUGAUAAGUGCAAUAGAAUUCAGAUUGCAACUCAAAUAUUUAAGAUUAUUGAGUUCGAAAAUCGUUAAUUCUUGCUAAAUGCCAUGCGGGAAUUCCACCGUUACAUAAUACGAUAACUUUUAUAACAACGAAUAUGGCACGUAGCCCAGAUGUGUACCGUAUGUGGGAAAAAAUUCUGCGGAGAAAAACAACACAAUAACCUUUAUACCUUCACUUGGUAUACAUGAGUCUACGAGAGAGGCUGCAGCCUAGCCCGAUAACAGAACCCAAAUGAUACAGGCUUUACCGUUCCAAACGAAACCAAAAACAAAACUUAAUUCUUAUUCGAAUUUAUUUCUGGAAACAACUCUUUUUUUUUUUUUCUUUUUUUUUGUGCCCCUCCAAGCACAGAAUUAAGCUUCUUAAUUCCAUUUGCCAGAAGCUCUGAGUUUGGCAAGAACCUUAGCAAACUCUGCAAGCUUAUCAGUCUCAGGCAUAACAUCUUUGACAGCGGCAUCAGCACAGAAUCUCUCAGCCCAUUUGAACAGUCCAGGAGUUUUGACUUCAUCAAGGAGCUUCACCUCAAUCAUUUUCUCUGUCACUCUCACCCAUCCCAAGUAGCAACCAAAUGCAAUGUCAAGAAACCCAAUUUGGCUUCCACCAAAGAAAGGCUUCCCUUUGCUACACUUAACAAAAGCAUCCUCCAGCAAAACCAAGCCUUCAAUCAAUUGCUCAAUCGCAGCUUCCUUAGCUUCCG